UACGAGGGGGGCGAGCGUUGUUCGGAAUUAUUGGGCGUAAAGGGUGCGUAGGCGGUUUGGUAAGUCUCUUGUGAAAUCUAUGGGCUCAACUCAUAGUCUGCAAGGGAAACUGCCGGGCUUGAGUGUAGGAGAGGUGAGUGGAAUUUCCGGUGUAGCGGUGAAAUGCGUAGAUAUCGGAAGGAACACCUGUGGCGAAAGCGGCUCACUGGACCACAACUGACGCUGAUGCACGAAAGCUAGGGGAGCAAACAGG
rnacentral:rRNA from 1 species